rnacentral:lncRNA from 1 species
UUUUAAAAAUUUUAAAACAUUUAGAUUAGUCCUUUAAUACCAUGAACUAUUUUUUAUUUUAAAACAAAAAUAGUAUAUCACAUAUUAUAAAAUAUUUUCUCUGACCUGAAUAUUUACAUAGUAUUUUGGACUCAUUUAGAAAAUCAAAUAUUAAAACAUAUUAUGAUAUUUAUGUGAAAAAUAAAAAAAGGGAUAAAAAUAAAAAUU